UGAGAGCAUUGUGAAAACAUUCAAUUACAUUACCAUUAUAUACAAUUCCUUAUGAUAUGAAUCCUUUAAAACAAGUAUUGAUGGGUAUUUGCUGUGCUGCCUUACUGAUCCCUUUGUUGAUGAACAAAAAAUACAAGGAAAUCACUUCUAUUGUUCUGGAGCAAUGGAGAAAGACCAGGUGGUGAGUCCAAAUGUACCUUGUUCCAGAGUAAGACGCGAGGUGAAUGAAGUGAUGCAUCUAUCAAGUCAAGCGAAGUCAACCAGAAGACGUCGAGUCACUUCAUGACAGAAGUCCUGGCUGCAAAUCACCAUGCUGGGUUUACCACCAUGCUCUCCUUCUAUAAGUUUAAUUCUUGUUCAUUGAGUAUUCAUUAAAGGAGUUUCAAAUGA